CCUAGUUCAUGCGAUGCGGCAUGACGUGGCCCGCUGUUUUGCGUUGUUCCGGGACCUGACCCUCGUCUGGUCCGAGAUCGUUCCGCGCCCGGUAUGGCGGUCCGGGGGGCAUGGUAAGGCUUUGGAGCGCUAUAGGCGUAAGGUUAAUAUGACCAUGUCUCGGUUUGUACGCCAACGGGGGGGUAUAGUUGUGAGGCACUUUGAGUUGGAAGGGGUUAAUGAUGAUGUAAUGAGACGGGAUGGUGUUCAUUUGUCCCCCAUUGGGUUAGAUAUUUUCAAUAUGGG